rnacentral:lncRNA from 1 species
CUCAUGGCCUAUACUAGGACUAGACAUUCAUCAUAUGCAUCUAUGUGACAUUGUUUGGGUGUGUAUAUUGUAAUUGGUUUGCCUAAAUGAAUAAUUCUGUUAACUGCUAAUUGCUAUACUUGAUAUAAUUGCUCUUGAUUGUGUUUGAACCUCAUUACUUGUGUUUGUAACUGAUUGGCUGGAUUGUGGUGAAUUGGGUGUUGGUUGAAUUGCUUG